AAAUUAUCACAUUUUGUUUGAAUAUAUUUAUUUGUUAAAUAAAUUUUUUAAUUUUUUAAAAUAUAAAUAUUUAUAUAUAUUUUUAUAGCAAUAUUCAAACAUUUGUUUAAGAAACAGUUUGGCUAGUCUAAAAGAGAGUUGGUUUGUGUUGAUUUAUGAUUAACAACAGAAAAUGCAUUACUUCAAUAAAUGUUAGUUUUUUACAUAUUAGUUAUAUAAUCUCCUAUGAAAUGGUUCAUCUAAAUCUAAUUCCCUGCAGGAUGCCUGUUAAAAAGAAAAACUGAAGAAACUUUAAAACUAGAUGAUGCCAACUAAAGAAGUUGAAACACCGUUAUUCAUGGUGUCAUAUCGAGGCUUCAGUUCUCCAUUAGCUUAUGGUUUGUACGUGUGUUUUUGUUUACGUAGUGUUUGUUAGUUAUAUGCAAGAUAUGGCAUGGUAUGACACACUGCAUGUGUAAAAGUGGAUGAAAGCACUAAAGAAAACGAUAACGAUAAACUUUAAAGCAGAAUUUUGUCAUGCGAUUUUGGUGGCGUAACCAGAAACUUCUUAUAUGUUUGUUACAUAAUUAGUUUUAUUAACUUUAACGAUUAUAACUUCAUUGA